rnacentral:ribozyme from 1 species
CCUGGACAUGACCUGCACCUCUACGUUGGUGCCCAGGACUAGUAGCCUAUAUGGUGAAGCCAAGCAGGC